rnacentral:misc_RNA from 1 species
GAAAUGCGAUAGGUAAUGUGAAUUGCAGAAUUCAGUGAAUCAUCGAGUCUUUGAACGCACAUUGCGCCCCAUGGCAUUCUGUGGGGCACGCCUGUUCGAGCGUCAUUUCAACCAUCAAGCUUGGCUUGGUAUUGGGCCUCUUUUUCGCCCCGAUGAUAAGGGCGGGCCUCAAUCACGUUGGCGGUGGUGACGGACCCCCGAGCGUGACGGACUCACGACCGAUGGGGUGGUCUCCAUAGCCCACCAUUUUUUCUUCAGGUUGACCUCGGAUCAGGCGGGGAUACCCGCUGAACUUAA